rnacentral:pre_miRNA from 1 species
UUAACUCAAAUUUGUAUGGAGUCGGAACGUUUGCUGCUAGGAGCGUUUUUCCAACUGCAUACAAAAUUGGGUUA